UUGUAGUCAACCCGGUCGUUGCCACCACCUCAACCUCGUCAGCCUACCUCCCAUCCCUAUGUGCAGGUCGCGUUUGCGCUUAUCGCCGGUGAGACUCUCGGUUCUUGUUCUCGCCUAGCGUCGAUUGAUUAGAUACUAAUUAUUUGUGUGUUUGUGCGUGAUUGGAGGAGAAAAAGGUCCUAGAAAUUGGUUGGAGAAGAAGGUUGUAGCGCAUGGCUCACCAAGUGUUCGAUCAAAGACUUCAAUUAAAGGCUAUCGUCGUUCAGGCAAAUAUCAAAUCAAAUUGAGAUGUGGUGAGCCGAUUCGCUAUUUUUACUAUUGGUUUUAUGAUCGUGAAAUAAGACGCUUCGUAUGCGCAUGAAAUUUAAGUUAGAAAUACCAGUGAUGCGAGGUGUGCUUCGAUGAAAUUGAGAUGUAGCAUUAUUUAGGUUUGUGAUAUUCCUGCUUAUAUCCAUUCAUAUGCACCAUGCAUCUCAUUAGGUACGCUAGCUGAGAAUCGUACGAAUCAAAGGACAAGGACCAAAGCUGAGUCGACCACAAGAUGCUGUAAAGUGUGAGCCACUCGCGAGGUGAUGCUGAUGGACGAACCUGAAGAUGGAUAACUCAAGCAAGUGCUAGGCUGAGACAUGGUCGACAAGCAAGUCUCGUCUAACAAACACUAACCUAGUGUUAUUCCAGGCAAGCCACGGUGCAUUAUCCCUUUCCUUGUGUUUUAAAAUCUUUAUUACCUUAUAUGAUGCAUUAGGUGAUAGGAGUUAUGUGCUAAACAAUUGAUGCAUUUCCUUCCAUGGAAAAUUGAUCACC
rnacentral:lncRNA from 1 species